rnacentral:rRNA from 1 species
UACAGAGGUCUCAAGCGUUUGUUCGGAUUCAUUGGGCGUAAAGGGUGCGUAGGCGGCGCGGUAAGUCGGGUGUGAAAUCUCGGAGCUUAACUCCGAAACUGCAUUCGAUACUGCCGCGCUUGAGGACUGGAGAGGAGACUGGAAUUUACGGUGUAGCGGUGAAAUGCGUAGAUAUCGUAAGGAAGACCAGUGGCGGAAGGCGGGUCUCUGGACAGUUCCUGACGCUGAGGCACGAAGGCCAGGGGAGCAAACGGG